rnacentral:rRNA from 1 species
UACGUAGGGGGCAAGCGUUGUCCGGAAUCAUUGGGCGUAAAGAGCGUGUAGGCGGCUCGGUAAGUCCGCUGUGAAAGUCCAGGGCUCAACCCUGGAAUGCCGGUGGAAACUGUCGAGCUCGAGUCCGGAAGAGGCGAGUGGAAUUCCUGGUGUAGCGGUGAAAUGCGCAGAUAUCAGGAGGAACACCAAUGGCGAAGGCAGCACUCUGGGACGUGACUGACGCUGAGACGCGAAAGCGUGGGGAGCAAACAGG